AACGAACGCUGGCGGCAGGCUUAACACAUGCAAGUCGAGCGCCCCGCAAGGGGAGCGGCAGACGGGUGAGUAACGCGUGGGAAUCUACCCAUCUCCACGGACUAACGCAUGGAAACGUGUGCUAAUACCGUAUACGUCCUUCGGGAGAAAGAUUUAUCGGAGAUGGAUGAGCCCGCGGUGGAUUAGCUAGUUGGUGGGGUAAAGGCCUACCAAGGCGACGAUCCAUAGCUGGUCUGAGAGGAUGAUCAGCCACACUGGGACUGAGACACGGCCCAGACUCCUACGGGAGGCAGCAGUGGGGAAUAUUGGACAAUGGGCGCAAGCCUGAUCCAGCCAUGCCGCGUGAGUGAUGAAGGCCCUAGGGUUGUAAAGCUCUUUCACCGGUGAAGAUAAUGACGGUAACCGGGGAAGAAGCCCCGGCUAACUUCGUGCCAGCCGCCGCCGUAAUAC
rnacentral:rRNA from 1 species